rnacentral:rRNA from 1 species
GAUGAACGCUGGCGGCGUGCCUAAUACAUGCAAGUCGAACGAGGGGCGAACGGGUGAGUAACACGUGGGAAAACUCCCCUUCAGCGGGGGAUAACCCUCGGAAACGAGGACUAAUACCGCAUAAUGAAGGAUGUUGCCGCGGUGCAUCAGCUAGAUGGUGGGGUAACGGCCUACCGUGGCAUUGAUGCAUAGCCGACCUGGUAGGGUGAUCGGCCACAUUGGGACUUAGACACGGCCCAAACUCCUACGGGAGGCAGCAGUAGGGAAUCUUCCGCAAUGGACGCAAGUCUGACGGAGCAACGCCGCGUGUGUGAAGAAGGUCUUCGGAUCGUAAAGCUCUGUUAUCAGAGAAGCGGUAUCUGAUCAGAAAGCCACGGCUAACUACGUGCCAGCAGCCGCGGUAAUUC